GACGAACGCUGGCGGCGUGCCUAAUACAUGCAAGUCGAGCGGACUGAUUAAGAGCUUGCUCUUAUGACGUUAGCGGCGGACGGGUGAGUAACACGUGGGCAACCUGCCCUGUAGAUCGGGAUAACACCGAGAAAUCGGUGCUAAUACCGGGUAAUAUCUGAGAUCACAUGAUCUUAGGUUAAAAGAUGGCUCCGGCUAUCACUACAGGAUGGGCCCGCGGCGCAUUAGCUAGUUGGUAAGGUAAUGGCUUGCCAAGGCGACGAUGCGUAGCCGACCUGAGAGGGUGAUCGGCCACACUGGGACUGAGACACGGCCCAGACUCCUACGGGAGGCAGCAGUAGGGAAUCUUCCGCAAUGGACGAAAGUCUGACGGAGCAACGCCGCGUGAGUGAUGAAGGGUUUCGGCGCGUAAAGCUCUGUUGUUAGGGAAGAAACAGUACCGAACGAACUAGGUCGGUACCUUGACGGUACCUAACCAGAAAGCCACGGCUAACUACGUG
rnacentral:rRNA from 1 species